UCCAGACUCCUACGGGAGGCAGCAGUGGGGGAUAUUGCACAAUGGGGGGAACCCUGAUGCAGCGACGCCGCGUGGGUGAAGGAGCGUUUCGGCGCGUAAAGCCCUAUCGGCAGGGAAGAAGGAGGACGGUACCUGACUAAGAAGCCCCGGCUAACUACGUGCCAGCAGCCGCGGUAAUACGUAGGGGGCAAGCGUUAUCCGGAUUUACUGGGUGGAAAGGGGGCGCAGACGGCAGCGCAAGCCAGGAGUGAAAGCCCGGGGCCCAACCCCGGGACUGCUCUUGGAACUGCGCGGCUGGAGUGCAGGAGGGGCAGGCGGAAUUCCUGGUGUAGCGGUGAAAUGCGCAGAUAUUGGGAAGAACACCGGCGGCGAAGGCGGCCUUCUGGGCCACGACUGACGCUGAGGCGCGAAAGCUAGGGGAGCGAACAGGAUUAGAUACCCCAGUA
rnacentral:rRNA from 1 species